CUUCAAUCUCAAUCCGAUCUAAAUUCGAAUUAAUUUUAUAAUAUAUAAUAAAAUAAAUUACAGAAAUUUUUUUUAUAUAAAUAUUCGUUUUUUUAUUUUUCCUCUUCAAUUCUUAUAAUUUAUAUCCAAAAUGCCCUCUAAAAUGACAGAAAUAAAUUAAAAAAAAUUCUUUCUUAUAAAAUAAUAAGGAUAAUUUAAUUAUUUUGCUCUCUUCAUUAACAUCGUACCAUCUGAAAAUAUUUUUGAAAAUUUAAGAAGGUAAAAUAUAGAUUUUUGAAAGUCAUGAAGGGCAAGUGAAUAAGUAAGUAUUUACAGAGAUGUUUU
rnacentral:lncRNA from 1 species